AAACUUUUAACAACGGAUCUCUUGGUUCUGGCAUCGAUGAAGAACGCAGCGAAAUGCGAUAAGUAAUGUGAAUUGCAGAAUUCAGUGAAUCAUCGAAUCUUUGAACGCACAUUGCGCUCGCCAGCAUUCUGGGCGAGCAUGCCCUGUUCGAGCGUCAUU
rnacentral:rRNA from 1 species